rnacentral:lncRNA from 1 species
GAAGAUGAGGAGGCUCACUCAGCCUUGAUUACCACCAAGGUGCCCAAGCUAUCCAGACUGAUAAAUGAUCAGGCAUAGUACGAUACCGAUAUCAACCUAUACUCUCCUUGGGAUAAGGCCGAUGUAUUUUGCUUCCAGCUCUUUCUUUUCUUUUACAUUUUUAUUUUUUUGAAAUAUAUAAUUAUCUUACGUAGAAAUGAGAUUCAAUCCAAACAGAUUGGAGGAUAAGAAGAGGAAGGAACAACCAAAGCCAUUUGUAGCUGCUCUUGCACCGAAGAAGGCAAAAGGUGUAGAUCCUCCUGCUCGGGUACCAUCCUGAUCUACAUCAGUCGCUCCUUCUCCCGCCACUUUGGAGAGAAGCGAUGCUUCUCGGGGUCCAUAGAGUACUCUCCGGGCUCUAUCAAUUGAGCCUCCACCUCACCAACCAAUGAAGGUGAGGAAAAAGGAUGAUUCUCAAUCUCCACCUCCUCCCAAGGAGUUAGGUCGAAAGGCAACUGCUGCUGCUAUAGCCCCAUCGACCUUAGUUGAGGGAGAUACUAUGGGGUGGAUGUCACUUCUAGGACGGCCUCGGUUAGAUCACGAUCUUCUCGAUUUAGUGCUGCCGGCAGUCAAUUUGGAAGCACACUGAAAGAAUAAAUUGGAGGAGAUCACAAAUCAUGGCUGCGAGCAUCUUAUGCAUGUAUCUUUUUUUGUUCUUCUUCUUAUUCUUCUCUCUCCUUUUUCUCUCUUUUCUCUUUUUUUUUUCAUCGGUAUGUGAUUGACCUGAAUUUUUAUCCUAUAGGUUGCCGUCAACUUUCGGAUCAUGUAUGAAAACAUGGUCUAUCUAUUGAAAAAUAAGAAAGCCAUGAAUGCCAACUUGACAAUCCUCUAAGAGGAGAAGAAGGCUACUAAAAAGAAAGCUGAGAAGGAAUCUGAAUAUGUUGAAGGACUCAAAAUUUAGCUCAAAGAGAAGCUGACAUCGCUGAAGGAAAAAAAUCAGAAUCUCUUAGACCUUCAGCGAAAGAUUAAUGAACAAAAAAUGAAAAUCUUCAACCUGCACAUACGGACUGAGAAGAAUAAAGAACUGGAGCUGAGGCUACAGGAGGCACUUAAGGCUAAUGAGGCUCACAAAAAAGCCAUAGAAGCUCUGAAGAGAUAGGUUAAGAAGGAAUAGAAUAAGACAGCGAAGGUGGAGCUGUAUAAGACCUCCGAAGAGUUCAAGGAGGAGGUAAUCGA